rnacentral:rRNA from 1 species
GACGAACGCUGGCGGCGUGCCUAAUACAUGCAAGUCGAACGCAGUGGGGACGGGUGAGUAACACGUGGGUAACCUCCAAUCAGAGGGGAUAACACUUGGAAACAGGUGCUAAACCGAUACUGAUGGAUGGACCCGCUGUGCAUUAGCUAGUUGGUGAGGUAACGGCUCACCAAGGCCACGCUGCAUAGCCGACCGUAGAGUGGUAGCGUCCAUACUGGGACUGAGACACGGCCCAGACUCCUACGUGAGGCAGCAGUAGGGAAUCUUCGGCAAUGGACGAAAGUCUGACCGAGCAACGCCGCGUGAGUGAAGAAGGUUUUCGGAUCGUAAAACUCUGUUGUUAGAGAAGCGGUAUCUAACCAGAAAGCCACGGCUAACUACGUGCCAGCCGCCGCGGUAAUUC